UUGUUGUUACAUAUCUUGAUGGCAAAGAUCAAACUUGCCUCAAGGAACUCAGCAGGAAGUAGUCUAAUGAUAACAUUGCCUCCUUUCUGAUCCCUGACUUUAUGCAGGGAUCGCCUGUCUUACCCCUCUAUUUUUUUUUCUUUCCUAUCUUGUGUUAGGGGCUUGAAACAGUGGAAGUAAAGUGGUGGAGAAGGGUAGAAGAAAAACAAACCAUCCAAGUAGCAAAAACCAGCUACCGGGGAGCAUACACCAAAGUCAGACAUGUUAAACUUGAAGACAGGAACUUGUUAUUAGAGGCAAAGCAGGAAAAAAGAUCAAGCUAUCAAGAACAACAGUUAUGAAUAUAAACAACAUAUGGUAUAUGUAACAGGAUCUCAGAUUUCAAGAAGAAACUGAAUAGAAUUGAAGGGAGAGAUAAACAAUUCAAUGUAGUGUCUAUAAACUUUUAAUACCUCACAUUCCAAAAUAAACAAAACAGCAAAACAGAACAUCAGUGAAGAGAGGAGAUUUGAGCAAUGCUGAUCAGAUCUGGCAGGUCUAUAGAAUGCUCCAUAAAAGACAAACAUGGUGGCACACACCUUUAAUCCCAGGACUCAGGAGGCAAAAACAAGUGGAUCUCUGUGAGUUAGAAGCCAGCCUGGUCUACAUAGAGAGUUCUAUUCCAGCCAUAGAUACACAGUGAGAACUGCUAUCAAAAAGCUACUUUGCUCAACAAUAGAGUACACUUUUUAAGUGCACAUAGAGCAUGCUCCAGCAUAGUCAGACCAUAUGUUAGGUCAGAAAACAGGCCUCAACAAAUAUGCGCAUUAAAAUCAUACAAAGCAUAUUCUCCUACAAUAAAAUUAGAAGUCAGUAACAAUACAAAAUUGGAGACGUUCACAAAUAUGUGAAAAUUAAUAUAGCUCUAGAAACUCACAGAAACUCAGUCAACAUGCCUAACAAUUAAAUCAACAUCUGGUCAAAAGAGAGUAAAGAAGGCUUAGUUACUGCCAUCAGAGACCAGAGAAAGAGAGAGAGAUCCUUGGUACUGAUCCUGCACAAAGGCUUAUGGAACGGGCCUGGCAAUGACUGUCAGGAGACUGACAGACCAUGGUCUUGCACAAUAGUUGCUUCUGUGAGAAUGUCUGCCUGGAGAUUGCCUGUCAGUCCUUCAGUGAUAUCAUCCAAGAUACCCAUCCUUGCUGGAGGGGUCACUGCUCCCAAUGGCAUCUGCCACCUCCUUCAUUUUACCUUAAAAACUCUCCCCUCCUGUUGCAUACCUGAAAACACAAUUUACCAGAACACUCACAACCCCGUUUCUAGUUGCACUUCUGAAUAAAUUAAGUAUAUUUGUUUAUGUUAACAAUUAGUAAGCAAAACAAGUUGUAGCAAGAGGAGUCCUGGGCCAGAUGGCUUCACUGGUAAAUUCUUCCAAACAUGUGAAGAAUAAUGAUGGUGAUCCUCAAUCUUAGUAAGGAGACAUGGAGGAGGGGGAGGGGGAGGAACACAAUAACUCAUUCAAAAAACAAUAUAAAAUUACUCUCAAAUACCUUUUGUAUACACAUGAAAAUCAUAGCCAAUUAUUGAAAAACUGAACAAUAUAUAAGGAAGAGUAAACAAUUCGACAGAAAAUGGAUUAAAAAAUAUUAAAAAUCAAUGUGCAGUGGUUCAGUGAUGAAAGGCCCUGGCUGCCAAGCCUGACCACCUGAGUUUAAUCCCCAGGACCAAAUGGUAGAAGGAGAGAACCAACUCCCCAAAUUCCCCAGCAAGCAAGUCCUAUUUUUACAGUGAGGCAGCACACACACACACACACACACACACACACACACACACACACACACAAGCUCAGGUUUAAUUUUUAAAAUCAAAAAUUUUAAAAGGCAGCAAAGAGUGUUGGCAAGGUUGUGGAAAAAGCUGGAAACAUCAUAGAUUGCUGUGAAACAAAAAGCUUCCUCUGCAGGAGAAACUCUGUUAGUUCCUAGAAAAGAAAGAACUGAAAACACAAAUCCCCGUUAGUUUUGUAGAUGAAUUUUACAAUUAGUAUUUCUUAUAAUAGCCCCAAGCUAGGAGCAACCUAAUAUACAGCCUUCUGUACAGCAAAAUACUAAUCCAAAAGCAUCCUGGGUGUGUAAAAGAUGGCAGAGAUGAAACUUAAAGUAAGUCCGUUUAGGCAGCUGGCAUUGAAAGGCAGGAAACUGGGCAGAUGGAUCUGUUAAAGAAUAUUCUGGGCAGGUAUUUCCAAACCACAUAUGCCAGGAUGACUGAAAUAAACAAGAUACAGACCAGCUGAACCCCCCCCCCCCCCACCAACUGAUGACAAGAAUGUGAGACAACACAGCCACUUGCUAAAACAUUUUGUCAGCUUAUUUUAAACAACUGACCAUGAUUCAUGACAUUCCAUGACAGUCAUGUUCAUAGAUAUAAAAAGAGACAAAGCAUCUUUGCACUUACACACAUAUACACACUCAUACAACACACAUUCACAAACAUGCAGAUUCACACACACAUACUUACAUAUACAUGUACACUUACACUCUUACACACACACACACACACACACACACCCUAAGCUAUAGUUCCAGUUUAUUCAACAGUACUGAAUAGAGAAACCUAAUGGCAUAAAGCAUGUGAAUGUGUGUCCAGGGCAGCGUGAGCACAUCAACUGCAGAGAGAUAAAGGGAAGUUGUGGGGAGCAAGCAUUCUGUACCUUGAGUAUGAAAGUGAGACACAGAUUUACCCAGAAACUCCUGUAUGUGGGUGACUGGAUUGCUUCGUGCAUCAAUUACAUCUCAGUGAAGUGAAGGGGGCAUGCUUUCAGACCCUGGUUCUUCCCUGCUGUCUUCACUUUUAACCUCUUGCUAAGCAUCACUGCCCUGAAUGACCGGGCUCCUUACAACUGCUGCUCUGUCUUCUUGUUUCUUUCAGCGUAUUCCCAACAGUUCAGUCAGCCUACUGUUGAAACACAAGUUACAGGGGCUGGAGAGGUGACUCAGUGGUUAAGAGUCCCACCCACUGCUCAGCCACCAGCACCUCGGGGUGCUCACACACUACCUAUGUCUCCAGGGGAGCCAAUGCCUCUUCAGCUCUAAAGGAACUGUACUCAUGUGGUAUAAUACAAGCACACACACAAAUAAAACCCAAAUCAACCUCUAAAAGCAGAAGUCAUAUCACAUCAGUUAUUUGCUCAAAAUAUAGGCUGAUAUAGUCUUUGCAUAUCACAUAUGCUUUUUUUUGAGACUGGGUCGCUUUUAGGUAAAGAUGACUCAGAACUUCUGAUCGUUCUUCAGGUGCUGGUACUGUAGAUGUGCACUGUGACAGCACACCCAGUACAUGGAAGCUAAGGACAGAACCUGUGACUUCACAGAUGCUUAGCAAGGACUUUAGUGACUGAGCUACAUCCUAGCCCCACCCUGUGUACGUCCAGCAUAGAUACAGUGUUCUUUCAAAUGUUUUUUAACCUCAGUGGAUUGACUCCAAGAUACAUAAGCCCUAAUACAAAGGACGGGCUGUUGAUUUCUAAAUCUUGGCACCUUUAAAACAUAUAUUAUUUUACUGAAGAAACUCACUUUGUGUGAUUUCAGUCUCUUCAGAUUUACUGAGACAUCUUUUAAGUUCUAGCAUUUGGUCUUCCAUGAUGAGUGCCCUUGAAGGCAGUACUGACUCUGCCUCAGCGGGUACUGUUGUUACCUGAGUGCCACCAUGGCUCAAUUGUGCCAUUCCUGUCUUCGGUAUUCUAAGUGACUUGGGCAAGGCCUACUUGUAAGAGGACAUUAAAUCGCUAAUUAAAAUUCCAAAUAUUCUAUUUCUCUUUAUGCUAUCGCAUAUGGUAAUUUGAAACUCUAACUUUGAUACACAGUCGUAAAGUUUUUCUGAUGAACUGACCCGAUUAAUGUUGUGGAGACAUUGUUCUUUUACCAUGGUGCUCAUUGAGAGUUUGUUUUAGUCUGACGUUAGUCUACUAACCCACUUGCCUCUCAAGAGCUGGAACUAGAGGUGUGCACCACCGUGCCCAGCCUUCUCUCUUAAUACUCUCUGGUUUAAAGUGUUGGCGGUGAUGGAGUGAGCAGCUCUGGUCCUUUCUUGUGGGUCACUGGUGUGGCUUUCCAUCUGUAACAGAGAGAGAAGGUCAGGUCUCAAGACAGUUAACAGGUACCUUGGUCUUCCAUGUGGCCCAGGCUUGCUUAUCAUAUGGUGCCCUGAAUUUCUUAGAUGAGGAGUAUCUUCUAAGAGCUGUUGUAACUCAUAGUUACUCUGAGUUCCUGUGUCUCAUCUUCUUCCCUGUUCACAGAGACCCUCCAGGUAGUUGAUCUUUAGGCAUGGUGUACUCUGGGGAGGAUGUGUCUAUUGCCAGAGGAUGAGUAGAGAUUCACUCAAUAACCAAGUCAGACUUAUUUUUCACCUGACAGCAGCUACCUUCAGGAAUAGAUUUGAGACACAACUCCAGAUAAAGCUGGGAGUAAAGUCGGGACAGCUUCUUGAAAAAUGUUUCCUAAGACUUAAUAAAAAAGGGGUGGGGGAUCCCAUCAAAAGGUCUCCCCUGAAUGCAUUGUACGUGUGUGAAAUUUCCAAAGAACAAAUUCAGUAGAAGUAAAGGAUUUAAAAAGGUCUUUCCUGAUGUUGGAUCCUAAUGUCUACCCUUUGGACUGCCCAAAGGAGCUCCAGAGCCUGGAUUACCUAGAGCCGACCUCUGACCUAUCAGAGGGUUGUGAGCUCUCUUCUACCAACUGCUGUAUGGUUUAUAACAGUACGAAUACUGUCCCCCACCUUGUAUUUCCUUACACAGUGACUGUCAGUGAGCAUUGCUGGCUUUGGUGGCCUUGGAAGACCAGGUAUAGUGUUUUAGAGGUGAGGUAAUCACAGGCCAUAAAGAGACCAUUAGGAGAUGGUGUGAAGACAGCAGAGCCCUGUGAAUAAGGUCUUGCCACACUCGGCUUAUCACCCUGAGGUCUGUGUCUUCUGGCUCCCCACUGAGAUUUCUCUCUCCAACGCCCUCCUGAGCCACAGCCUCGGAGGUGAGUCUGUUAUCUCAGCAGUCUGGGAUCUACUCUGCUAGCUCCCUGAGAACCUUCUCCUUACCGUGUCGGGAUGAGAUCGGGACAUGAGGUGAUUAUAUUCUCACAAGUGAUUGAGAAACAAACGCACUGGGUCCACACUAGGGAUCAAUAGCUUCCCCUCCUUUCUUUUUGUGGGGGGGGGCUUCUUUUAACAAAGGCCAUUAUCGGACAUUCCAACUGUGAGAACUCAGCAUAGAAGAUGGAGUUCUCUCCAUUUUUCUACUGGGGAAAAAUUGCUAAUUUGGUUUAAAAAGAAGUAACUUUGUCAAAUGCACAUAGCAAUGCUUGAUGGUUUUUAUUUUUGCUUUAAUUUUUAAUCUUAAAGAUUUAUUUAUUUUUAUUUUAUGGGCAUGAGUAUUUUGCUCACGUGUAUGUCUGUGCAUUAUGUGCCUGCUGCCUGAGGGGUCAGGGAGCAGUUCCUGUGGGAUCCCCUGGAACUGGAGUUAUGGAUGGUCGAGAACCACCAUGCUGGGAAUUGAACAAGGGUUCAAUUCUCCUCUGCAAGAACAGCUUCGCUCCAGCCCCUGUUUGAUGGCUUUUAAAAGAUGAAAGGCAGUUUCCAGAAUAAAAACUAAAUAAAUGACGGGUUUCCAGCCCCCAUACAAGACAUCUAAAUGCACAGCUGCACAAUUUUCAAGGCGUCCUUCUACCCUAAGCAAAUUAACAAAGGUGAGCAGAAGCAAUGGUUCUGUGACAGUCUCACACAUCGGGGGCCAGGAUAUUCUGGGUUUCCCUCAACUCUUCCUUUUUCCUGUGUCAUAUCUGUAACAAAUGGGAGGGGCACGUAGUGUAGCUCAUUGGUAAGAUGCUUAUCUAAUGGAAGCUCCUGGGUUUUACCCUUAACAUUGCAAAAAUGUUUUAAACACUGCCCUCCCUAGUUCUACCCAUAAGUUUCUUUACUUAGUGAUGUAUAAUGGUUCAGCUCAACUACUUAACUGCUAACCCCCAGUUUGACAAUAUAUUCAUAACCCUGAUGGACUAACAGGAAUCAUCUAAGGAAGCCACCCAGGAAAUGGGCUGCUGCUUCCUGAUGCCCUGUGAGAUUUUGAAACACUCUUGUCAGAAAAUCCAGGCAACCCUGAAACUUUUCCCCCUGGGUUAUCAAGAGUCUGAGACAAUUGAUGACAUUACAUCGGUCGUUCAUUUGAGAUUCGUGGAACCCACAAAAAUCAAUAGUUUUCCAUUAUCAGGUCCAGCUGGGUCACUGGUCUGUCAAUGAGCUGUUACAAUUGCUGUACAGGGGUGAGCCUGACCAGUCAAUUGCUGCUGACAAGAGGAAAACAUGCUGACAGGAACAGGGACAAGUCAGAACACAGAUUUGCACUUCAGUCUGCCAUCCGAGGAGAUUCAGAGCAAAGCCAUUUUCAAGACACGGGGCAUAGGGCACACUCCUCGGGAGGUCGGGGCAGCCUGAACCCUCUGGUUUCAUAGCACAGGCACCUAAGGGCCUGUCCUGGCUCUAGACAAGCCUCUGUAGAGGCUUAUCUGUAGUCUACACCUGUGUUUGAAGGUGAGGGGACCAGCCAGAGCUGUCCUUAAACAGACCUCAUGGUGCCCAGAGCAAGGCCAGGGGGAAGGAACCUUCUGCUGCCAACAUGAAUGAAGCUAGACAUAUUUUCAGAAUAUAAACAUUGAAAGGAUGCUAGAGAAAUGGCCCAGUGGGUGAAGGAACUGCUGACUAUGCCAUCACGAGGACAGUGAUCCCCAGCACCUUCGAGAAAAGCCAGGCAUGCUAGGCACAACUGCAGUUCUAGUGUAGGAGAAGCAAAGACAAGAGGAUCCUGGGAACUUACUGCCCAGUUUUACUUUCCGUCUUUCUUGAUUAAAUAUUGAUUUAAUUGUAUUGCACGUGUCUGAGUGUUUUGCCUGCAUGUACAUGUGUGAAACACUCAAGGAGUCCAGAAAAUGGUGGCAAAUCCCUUGGACCUGGAGUUUCAGAUGGUCUUGAGGUGCCAUGUGGAUGCUGGAAACUGAACGUGGGUCCUCUGCAAGAGCUGCCAGUGCUUUCCCAGCCCCAAGCUAUGCUUGAUGGAUCCAUAAACAUCAGGUCCAAUAGGAGACCUUUGUCUCAACAAAUAGGGUAGAGACUGACAGAGAAAGACACCUGAAGCCUGGUACAUGUGUGAGCAUGAGAAUACACAUGCAUAGACCACACACACAGGCACAAUGUUUUCAAAAGGUAAAAGGGGGAGAAAAUGGGCAAAUCUGGCCAAUCUGACUAAGCAUGUUGCAAAGGAGCACUGACUGAGGAUAGAGCGGGCUGCAUAGGCUCAUCUUAUUAGAUAAUAUAACAUCAUCCAUACUUUGGUCUUAAUGUGAGAAUAACCAAACUAAGUAGCUCUGCCUAACUUCUAGUCUACAGCCCUGGGUCUGAAGAGGUGCUUGUCUGUGGCUAGGUCACUCUUGCCUUGCCUAUUAUUGGGAACUGGGACAUCGAGUGGUGAGCCUGGGACAGCUAUCUCAAUAGCCUUAUAUAAUCAAACGGAGGCCUACUAUGUCACAAGGUUGUCAUGAGAUGCAAAGAUCAAGUGAGAAAACUCUCGGAAGGUAAGGGUGUGUGUUUGUUACAAUUCUGUCGCUGUGGUAAGACACCACAAAUAAAGCAGCCAUUUGGGCUGACAGUCGCAGAGGGUAAGUCCAUCCAGUCAAAGGAGGAUGGUAGCAAGGAGAAGGUGUGGUGACUGAGAACUCACGUCAACCAGUGUGACGCAGACAGAAUGAACUGGAAGUGGAACAGUUUUUACCUCAGAGCCACUCACAAUGGCUUGCUGCCUUCCUCAAGACCACACUUCCCCAAAUGGUGCCACCAACUGGGGAUCAAGUGUUCAAAUGCCUGAGACAGCAGGAUAUUUAUCAUUCAAUCCACCACGGUGUGUGCGGGCAUGUGUUUGUGUGUGUGUGUGUGUGUGUGUGUGUGUUCUUGUGUGUAUCUCUGUGUGUGCUUGUGUCUGUGUGUCUGUGUAUGCUUGUGCAUGUGUGGAAUCUGUGUCUGUGUAUGUGUGUGUGUCUGUGUGUGUCUGUGUUCGUGUAUGUGUGUGUGUGUGUGUCUGUGUUCGUGUGUGUGUGUGUGUGUGUGUGUGUGUGUGUGUGUGUCUUAGUUAGGGUUUUACUGCUGUAAACAGACACCAUGAUCAAGGCAACUCUUAGACAACAUUUAACUGGGGCUGGCUUACAGGUUCAGAGGUUCAGUCCAUUAUCAUCAAGGUGGGAACAUGGCAUCAUCCAGGCAGGCAUGGUACAGGAGGAGCUGAGAGUUCUACAUCUUCAUUUGAAGGCUGCGAACAGAAUACUGGCUUCCAGUCAGCUAGGACUUGGAUCUUAAAGCCCAGGCCCAGUGACACACCUACUCUAACAAGGCCAUACCUCCUAAUAGUGCCACUCCCUGGACCAGGCACAUUCAAACCACUACAGUAUGUGUGUCUGUAUGUAUGUGUUUGUAUGUGCCUGUGUGUGUAUGUAUGUAUGUAUGUAUGUAUGUAUGUAUGUAUGUAUGCAUGCAUGCAUGUGUCUGUGUGUGUGUGUGUUGCUCUCUAUCUUGUGAUGAAAGGUUUGGAAGCAAAUGUAACAAACAUUGUUAUAAAUAAGCUAUUUAGAGGCUAGAUUGCACAUUGUCCUUUGUGCAUUUAAUACAGUGGUUCUCAACAUUCCUAGCAGCGACCCUUUAUUAAAGGGUCCUCAGGUUGUGGUGACCCCCAACCAUAAAAUCAUCUUAUUGCUACUUCAUAACUGUAAUUUUUCUACUGUUAUGAAUCAUAGUAUAAACAUCUGAUAAAUGUGGUGUAUUUAUGUGACCUCAAAAGGGUUGAGACCCACAGACCAAUGAUUUAAUAUAUAAAUGAGCUCAAAAAAAAAAUCACAGCGAAUGAAACCCAGAAUUCAGAAUACAGCUCAGAAGUCUCUGUAGAAUUUGUACCUCUCCUUAAUUCACAGAGGAGAGGAUUUAAAAGGCAAAGGAGGGGACAUGCUGCCCAGGAUUCAACACGCUGAGAUGCUUCCAAAGCAUUGUGGGCUUUUCCAGUGUGAAGGUCUCCUCACACUGGCUGGCUUUCAUACAUCAAACUUUAGGAGCUCCAAAGAUAAACAUUUUGAAUUUGUUUCAAUAUUAUGAUUUUUAAUUUUCCACUCUUAUUAACGUCUUUCAAGCAUUAAAGUAUAGAGCCCCUCGAUGCAGUCUUAGGUUGAACCAUUUGGGAGCUGACACUCACUUGUGUUCGUUCUCUCAGCAAAGCUAGUGUUCAACUAACUAUAUAACUGGAAGAAGAAGAGCUUGGCCCCCCAAUAUAUUCUAACACCCCAAAAUCAUAUUAUGAGGUUUUUCUUUCUCUCUCUCUCUUUUUUUUAAAGGAGUUAUAACGAGAGCAAAUUUGCUAGUAAUUAGUUGAGCCAGUCAUGUCUUCCAGCGCUUUCGAAGCUUGGAAUUCACCAGAACCCUCAUAGCAUUAAUUAAAAAGAAUUUAUGUUUUUUUAAUAAAAUGCUUCAUGUUUUAGCUCCUUUAUUCCUGCACCAAAUGUGAUUAUGUGGGGGCUGAAGGGAAUUCAGGUUAAUAUGUUGACACACUUAACAAUGCAGGGUCAUGCUGCACAGUACGCUUCGCCGGUUUGGUUCAGUACACCCCCUGACAGGGCCUAAUCAUCCUGUGCCCUAAAGGCAGGGGGAAGGAGAGGAUUUUAAUUACUGCUCUGUAUGCAAGUUUGCCAGCAUUAAAUUGAGACAUAAUUAGGCCUCUGAAUUUUAAUAAUUGUCCUAGCUAAUUGGGCAGACAAGUACGUUAUGCGGCAUGCCGUGAUUAGAUAAUUAGUAUUUCCAAAUGACAAAAUUGGGCUCUUGAUUACAAAUUCUACAUGAAGGGGGAAGGUACUGAGCAGAUCUUUACAAGUCUAUUAAGGGAGAGUUUAGCAAUGGUGGUAAUUUAGUGCUCAUCAGGAAGCCGAGUCUCAUUCUCAGAGCUGGGUAUCUGGGACAAGGGCCUCUGGCCCAUGCUGCCUUCCACUGUGGCUCCUGCCCAGAAUGCUCUGCUUUGCGUCCUAUAGGCUCUUCCUCUCCCCAGCAUAGUAGCUGUUACUGACCUUGGCUAAGGUGCUGUGGGCGUAUAGCAGGUGAUAACUCUGAAGAAGAAAUCCUAGAACUGGGAAAGAAAGGAGAGGAGACAUUCCCAGGAAAUAUCCCAGACUUUUCCACUGAAGCUUUCUUUUGCAAGUAGCUGUUUAGUUGUUUGUUCAUUCUUGGCCCCCACCCCAACACAGAAAAUAUGUCAUCCCAGGCUGGCCUGGAAUUCACUUUGUUGUCCAGAUUGGCUACUAACUGGUUUCUCCUGCCUCAACCUCCCAGCUUGCGGGGACCGGGACCGAGUGAGCUCUGGUGCCCGGCUUGCUUUCUUUAUUUACACUUCAUGCAGAAUUCACUUUCCCCCUUUUAUCAUUAUCCCACUAAAAUAGUUUGGCAAAAUAAUAAUAAUAAUAAAUCUAAAUUUAAAAUUUUUGCCUAUAAUCUCAGCACUGAAAGAGAAGAGGCGGGAGGAUCACAUACGUUGGAGGUCCUUAACUCAAGAAAAAGAAAAAAAAAAAGACCAAUCACUCACCAUUACCAUUUUACAUUUCUAGGAUAUUAUAUUAUUGGGGGGUAAGGAGUAUGAACAUUCAAGCCUGCCAGGGUUUGGAUUGUUUCAAAGGCUUGCUCUGCAGUCAUGGUAACAGGUGGUAGGGACUGUAUCACUCAUAACUGAAUGGAGUAUUAGGAUGUGGGACGGAGCUGGAGGAAGGAUGUCAUCAGGCAUGCCUUUGAAAAGCACCCCACCAUCUUUUCCUGACCACCAUGAGCUAAGCUGCUCUCCUGUGCAGUGAUGUUCCAGCCUGGCUUCCGGCCAACAGCAAUGGAACCCAUGGAACCCUCCCUCUGGGGCUUAGAACAAAAAAGAAACAUUUUCUAACCCUCUCAGGCUUAAGAAACAUUUUUCUCCCUAGUUUCUCUAAGUAUUUGUCUUGGUUUGUUGGGUAUCACUUAAGAGUUUCAUGACCCUUGAUAAAUUACUUAGUGUCUGCCUCAGAUUUGUCACUGGCAAGACAAAGAAUCUCUUCUGUUAAGACUGUUUAUGGGAUUAAAUAAAAUAAUUUACAGCACUGUGCCUGGCAGGGACUAAGUUAAGGAGUCAAUACAUAUGAAGUUAGUAACAGUGAAUGGCACAGGGGAAAGGUAGUGGGCUGGCUUCUCGCUGUGCCAACCUUCAAAUGAAACAGAGCCCCUAGUCACAGUGUUUUCUGAGCGAGGACUUUUAUGCUGAGAGUAGUCUAACAGCUCCAGGUACCUUGCAAUCCAAAUACCCAGUUGGCUUUCCUUCCUAGGAAGUCUUCAUCUGAUGCAGUGAAGGUGGCAGGCAGGCAUUCUGCCUCCCCCCCUUACAGGCCCUGACUUACUCUGCACACUAUCGCAUUGUUACCACAGAGGUAGACUUCUGGGUACCUAAGUCUUCUCAACAUUUUAAAUCGGUGCAUUGAGAAAAGAAACCCAGGAUUUGUAAGAAAUCUAAGUGUCUCUAGGGUUGCCUUUCAAGCAAAAAGAACAUUAGUUGGAUGCAAAGGAAGGACCCUUGCAAAAUGGUUAUAGUUGGUUCCUGGAUGACUGCUGGAAAGUUUGUUAAGGGAAAUUCUGAAUUUGUGGAUCCAUAUAGUUCUGACAAUUCAAAACGAAGAUGAAACAACAAUGUCUCCAUAGUUUGGUCCAGGCUGGACCAGUAUCUUAAGAUUUUCUGUUUGCCAUGGCUGUUUACGAGUGAUGAUGAAGUUCUGGUAGGUUCCAAUUCAGAAAACAGCGCUCCCCAUAGUGGGUACUUGACAUGGCCCAGACAGCACCCCUGCAGGACAAGGGGACAAGACCUUGAGGCGUGAGGAAGAAGGGACACUGUGGGUGCAAUGCAGCCAUUCUGUUGCUUGGAAAGAUUCUAGGGCAUGGGAGGGAAUGUGAAGAGUGAUCCUUAUGCCCAGUCUGUGCUUACACAGUACAGAAACCUCUCCUCUGAGGACUACCAUUCUCCUGCUAGUUCACAGCCCCCACUGCUCCGGGGCUGUGAGUGUCUGAGAGAAGUCAGUGCAGAGCCCUCACUGCUCUUUCCAGUUUCCAGAGGAAGCAUCACUAGGGAUAACUGUCAUAAGGAUUUUUCUCCCCUGCCAUACAAUACUGAAGCUUCUCUCCCUCUCUUUUUUUUGAAGAAGUGCGUUUAUGACUGAUCGCUCAACACCUUGUUGGUUCUGAUUGCAGAAAACACACCUUAUAAAUAUAUGAUAACCAUCCUGUAAUAGAGAGUGUGACAAUUUACUUCACAGUGCGUUUCAGGCUGCUAAUUGAUCGUUUCAGUCCAGGGACGAUUUGGAAUAAAUUAUAGCCAUCAAAAGGAUAUCACAGCUCAUUUUGGUGGAAAGGUUUCCACGUCGCUUCGCGUUCAUCUCCGGAAGAGGGACGAUUACACCCGGCGGGCUGGGAGGUGGGGAGGGAGAGGGACCCUCAUAGAGGCGGCCGGUGGGUGGAGCUUGAGCAGCCAGGGGCCGGUCCUGGGGCGUGACCAUCGUAGGGGGCGUGGUCGUCCCGAGGGCGGGGCCACCAUGAGGGCGGGGCCUGGCAGCGACGGCGCACGCGCUGCAGCUCCGCGGCCGGACAGUAGAGGCCUCCCUUCCGAGGAGGUGGCGCAGGCUGCUCGGCUACCCGGUGAGGUCCACGCGCAGCCCACCCGGCGCUCGGUUCCCCGGCCGCUGUCUCCCGCUGCAGGCGGCGGCGCCGGGCCUCGGAGGCUUCUAAUGUGAGGAAAAACAUGGAAUGACAAGUGUGGGAAAGAGCAAGCACUAAAUUACUGUCAGAAAAAUAAACGGAGCAGCACAGUGGUGCUCCGUGAUUUACGGGGGCAAUUAGUCACCACCCCACAGCGCUGCUGAGGACGGCCUGGCAGCAGACACAUCAGGCCCACGAGGAGGAAGAGGCUCUGCACUAAGCUCCAGAUGACUUUUCAAACAAGAGCAAGUCCGUGAGCACAUGAGAGUCUGUGUGUUCAUUCUGGGUGUCUACCCUUCACACUCCCCACCAGCUUGAUAAAUAAACAGACUUUUCGUGCACUGUUA